rnacentral:rRNA from 1 species
GAGCCUACGGGGGGCAGCAGUGGGGAAUAUUGCACAAUGGGGGAAACCCUGAUGCAGCGACGCCGCGUGAGUGAAGAAGUAUCUCGGUACGUAAAGCUCUAUCAGCAGGGAAGAAAAAAAGUCCUUUGGACUUUGGACGGUACCUGACCAAGAAGCCCCGGCUAACUACGUGCCAGCAGCCGCGGUAAUACGUAUGGGGCAAGCGUUAUCCGGAUUUACUGGGUGUAAAGGGAGCGCAGGCGGCCUGGCAAGCCUGAUGUGAAAUACCGGGGCCCAACCCCGGGGCUGCAUUGGGAACUGCCAGG